rnacentral:tRNA from 4 species
UGCCCCAUGGUGUAACUGGCAACACGCCGGAUUCUGGUUCCGGAGAGUCUAGGUUCGAUCCCUAGUGGGGCAA